AGAGGGAGAGGGAGAGAAUCUUAAGCAGGUUCCACACUCAGCACAAAGCCCGAUGCUGGGCUUGAUCCCCCCACCCUGCGAUCAUGACCAGAGCCAAAAAUUCAGAGUUGCCAUUCAACCCAGACACUGUCUUUCCUUCUCUUAUUAUAUCAGGUUAGUUGGUAUGGCUGGCCUUAAUCGUUCCUCCCCACCUACUGUUUGCUAUUUCUCAUCAUUUGUUAGCUGAAGAAUCAGUUGUUAACAUAAUGUGUAAAGUAAAUGUAUACUGGCUCCUAAUUAAAAAAAAAAAAAAAAUGGGCAAAGAAUCAGGAUCCAUAUUUCUCCGAAGAAGAUAUACAAAUGGCCCAUAAGCACAUGAAAACAAUGCUUGAUGGCAUUAGUUAUCAGGGAAAUGAAAGGAAAACCAUAACGAGAUACCGCUUUGUACUCAUCAGAGUGGCUAUGGUCAAAAAGUCCAAUAAGACUCGUGUUGAUGAAGAUGAAGAGUAACUGGAACCCUCACACACUUGGGAGGAAUGCGAAGUGGUGUCGUUGCUUUAGAAAACACAUCAAGUGAUUAAACACAGACCCGCAGACUUAUACAUAUGACUGGAUAAUUCUCGGAUUAGAUUUCAGGAAGAAAAGCAAACAAGGAAAAGUACUUCUGAAGUUCCACAGCACAUCAGUUGCCUCAACAUAGUAAAUCCAGGCGAAGAAAUGCCAAGACUCCAAUAGCUCAGCCCCAACCCUCUGAAAAGAUGACAAUGGCAACUAAUAAGUAAGAAGACAGACUGGAUCUCAUGAGGCGGAACUGAGACCAGCUCAUAACAUCUCAUAUCAGAAGAAAAUUCAAUUUAUGAUGCCAUUUACAGACAUUUCUAGUCUGCCUACAAGCUGCAAAAAUAUUAAUAUAGGUUUUUACCUUUAUGGAAAACAUAUAUACCCCCUAUGUUCAUCUUUACUUCAUUCCAAUUAUGAAUAAUUGAUAACUUUAAAGACCUUCCUUAGGAGAUUGUACCUGUCUUUCCCCAUUGCUUGUAAUGAGGUUCCUGGUGUUAUCAGAUAUUUCUUUCUAUUUUUACCAUCUUCUUUUGGAAACAAGGUGAUUUUAACUGAA